GACGAACGCUGGCGGCGUGCUUAACACAUGCAAGUCGAACGGAAAGGCCCCUUUGGGGGUCCUCGAGUGGCGAACGGGUGAGUAACACGUGAGUAACCUGCCCUUGACUUCGGGAUAACUUCAGGAAACUGGGGCUAAUACCGGAUAGGAAUCCUUACGGCAUGGGGGGGGUUGGAAAGCUUCGGCGGUUUUGGGUGGAGUCGUGGCUUAUAUGCUUGUUGGUGGGGUAGUGGCUUACCAAGGCUUUGCGGGGUGGCCGGCCUGAGAGGGCGACCGGCCACAUUGGGACUGAGAUACGGCCCAGACUCCUACGGGAGGCAGCAGUGGGGAAUAUUGCACAAGGGGCGGCAGCCUGAUGCAGCAACGCCGCGGGCGGGAUGACGGCCUUCGGGUUGUAAACCGCUUUCAGCAGGGGCGAAGCUUGUGGUGACGGUACCUGCAGAAGAAGCACCGGCUAACUACGUG
rnacentral:rRNA from 1 species